UAGCUCACCGCGUGGCGGAGGUGGUCCAUUGCAGGAAUGUGCCACCUGAUGUGCGGGACUUCUUUCAGCGUGAGUUGGAUAGGGCAAAGAAGGCAACUGCUGACCGGGCCCGAGAGAGGUUGAGACGGGAGAAGGCUGCAGCAAAUGGGCGAAGACCGAAGAAGGUAGAUAUACUCAUGGAAGUUUUUCAAGUAUGGAGUGGUGGGAUGCAUUGAAAUAUAUCAUCGACACGGUUCAACCAAUAUACAAGUUCCUUCGCUUCGCUGAUCAGGACAAGAAGCCGAACAUGUGCGAAGUCGUGAUUGCCUACCAGACUAUGAAACAGGAGCUGUAGUCUUUCUUUGGAACAAAUGUUUCCACACUGAAAGAGUAUGUUGAGGUGGUGGACAAGAGGUUGGGUGACGUGUUCAUAGGCACUUAUGUGGGUCCAGCUGCUGUCCUAAAUCCGAGGUAUGCAUAUACGAUGGAUCCAACUCAACAAAUGUUUCGUGGACUCAAAGAUACGUUUCAUCGCAUGACGGAUCUCGAGAGCGCCGUUCAGGCAUUGCAGGAGUUUGACGUGUUUCGGCAGAAAGUUGGUGAGUAUAGUAGUGAAAUGGCAAUGUGGAUGGCGAUGGACCCAAAGACAUCCCCAUCGUCCUGGUGGAUGAUGUUCGGAUCAAGUACUCCAAAACUGCAGUACCUUGC